AUGCAUGAAGGAAAUAAUAGGUUUCAUUUUGAAAGCGCUUGGUUAGUUGAGGAUACAUAUCAUGAUUUUGUAACAAAAGUUUGGAAUAACAAUUGCCUUUUGGUUGAGAAUUUGGAUCAGAUUAAAAGUCAAGUUUCAGGUUGGAAGAAGUUUACUGUGAAGAGUGUUAAAGGCCACAAAAAACAUCUUCUUGGUAGACUUAGUGGUAUCCAGAAGGCUUUCCAGGAAGGGAGAGGGCACCAAGGUUUAAUCACUCCUGAGAAGUAUCUCCAGUAA